rnacentral:rRNA from 1 species
UACGUAGGGGGCGAGCGUUGUCCGGAUUUAUUGGGCGUAAAGAGCGUGUAGGCGGCCAGGUAGGUCUGCUGUGAAAACUCGAGGCUCAACCUCGAGACGUCGAUGGAAACCGCAUGGCUAGAGUCCGGAAGAGGAGAGUGGAAUUCCUGGUGUAGCGGUGAAAUGCGCAGAUAUCAGGAAGAACACCCGUGGCGAAGGCAGCUCUCUGGGACGGUACUGACGCUGAGACGCGAAAGCGUGGGGAGCGAACAGG